rnacentral:lncRNA from 10 species
AGGGUGGUGUCGGGAAAUGCAACAGUUGGGCAGGAAAUGUCUGUCCUCACCUAGGUCCGUGGGGUGGAUCCCUAACAAGGGACCACGCCCUCCUCUACCCUGCACUUCCCUUCCCCGGUUUCCUAUUAUUUAAAGAGACCAGGGUCUUCCCUUCCCAGCACUCCCAUAUUAAUUCCACGCAAGUGGAAGUCACCAACAGCUACACCAGCAUUGUCAGAAGGAAUAUUAAUUAAACUGCUGUCGCUGCAGAUUGUGACUGGGGGCCUGUUUGCUUGGAUGUAGGAACAAUUGGAGAAGUUCCAUCGCUGCCCAGCUGACACUGGUGGUCAGCUGCUAAUGACCCUUCCGCUGGAGAGAAGAGGAAGUGGGCUUGGCUCUAACUUGCCCUGAUCCCCUUCCAGCCUGACAUUUCUAUGCACAGAGAACUAAUGGAGUCAGACCAGACUGCAAAUUCCCAUGCUGCCAUGCAGAAGCCAGGAGUAUGAAAUCAAGGUGUCAGAGGGGCUGUACUCCCUCCGAAGGCUGCAGGAGAAAAUCUAUUGCUUGCCUCUUCUACCUUUUGGUGGUUCCAGGAGUUCCUUGGCUUGUGAUCACAUCACUGAAAUCUUAACCUACCUGGUCAUACUGCUGCCUCUUCUUCUCUCUCAAAACUUCUCCUGCCUCUCUUCAUACUUGUGAUUGCAUUUAGGGUCCAUCUGGGUACUCCAGGAAAAACUCCUACUGUCAAGAUUUAACUUAAUCAUAUCUUAUGUCAUAUAAAGUCAUGUUCAAUAUUUUACAACAUAA